AGUUUGAUCUAGCUCCAGAUUGAACGCUGGCGCGGGAUGCUUGCAUGCAAGUCGAACGGCAGCACGGACUUCAGUCUGGUGGCGAGAGUAAGCGAACAGGGUGAGUAAUGUAUCGGAACGUGCCUGGUAGCGGGGGAUAACUACGCGGCGUAGCUAAUACCCGCAUACGCCCUUCGGGGAAAGCGGGGGGACCAGCUGGGCCUCACUGUUUAGAGCGGCCGAUAUCCGGAUUAUGGCUAGUUGGUGGGGUAACGGCUCACCAAAAGGCGACGAUCCGUAGCUGGUUUGAGAGGACGACCAAAUACCGCCGGGACUGGACACGGCAGACUCCACGGGGAGGCAGCAGUGGGGGAAUUUUGGACAAUGGGGGAAACCUGAUCCAGCCAUCCCGCGUGUGCGAUGAAAGGCCUUCAGGGUUGUAAAAGCCUUUUUGGCAAGGAAAAACAGCACGGGAUAAUACCCGUGCAACUAGGCGGUCACCUGCAGAAUAAGCACCGGCCCAACUACGUGCCAGCAGCCGCGGUAAACGUCGGGUGCAGCGUUAAUCAGGAUUACUGGAGGCGUAAAGCGUGCGCAGGCGGUUCGGAAAGAAAGAUGUGAAAUCCCAGAGCUUAACUUUGGAACUGCAUUUUAACUACCGAGCUAGAGUGUCAGAGGAGGUGAAUUCCCGCGUGUAGCAGUGAAAUGCGUAGAUAUGCGGAGAGGAACACCGAUGGCGAAGGCAACCUCCUGGGAUAACGCGACGCUCAGCCACGAAAAGUAGAGAUGUGACGGAUUAGAUACCCUGGUAGUCCACGCCCUAAACGAUGUCAACUAGCUGUUGGGACUACAGACGAAGUGGCGCAGCUAACGCGUGAAGUUGACCGCCUGGGAAGUACGGUCGCAAGAUUAAAACUCAAAGGGAAUUGACGGGGACCCGCACAAGCGAUUGGAUGAUGUGGACAAUUCGAUGCCUGGCACCGAAAAGAAACCUACCCUUGACAUGUCUGGAAUCCCGAAGAGAUUUGGGAGUGCUCGCAAGAAGAGGCGGAACACAGGUGCUGCAUGGCUGUCGUCAGCUCAUGUGAGAUGUUGGGUUGAAUCCCUGUGUUGCAACCCUUGUCAUUAGUUGCUACGAAAGGGCACUCUAAUGAGACUGCCAGUAUCGAACCGGAAAGUCAGGGAUGACGUCAAGUCCUCAUGGCCCUUAUGGGUAGAGCACACGUCAUACAAUGGUCAGGACAGAGGGUCGCCAACCCGCGAGGGGGAGCCAAUCCCGAAACCCGAUCGUAGUCCGGAUCGCAGUCUGCAACUCGACUGCGUGAAGUCGAAAGAUCGCUAGUAAUCGCGGAUCAGCAUGUCGCGGUGAAUACGUUCCCGGGUCUUGUACACACCGCCCGUCACACCAUGGGAGUGGGUUUUACCAAGUAGUUAGCCUAACCGUAAGGAGGGCGAUUACCACGGUAGGAUUCAUGACUGGGGUGAAGUCGUAACAAGGUAG
rnacentral:rRNA from 1 species